rnacentral:SRP_RNA from 1 species
GCCGAGCUCAUUAACGAGAGCCUGUAACCCGAGUGGGGGCAUGAAAGUGAUGGAACAUUGAUUCAACUCCAAAGGGUUGGGUUCAAUGUGGCUAGUCUCUGGCCUGCCCGUUCCAAGCAGUGAGUUGGCUCUUAUGGCUUUAGCGAAGGCUCAGACCAUAUGAGUCCUAAAUUGGCGGGUAAUGCGUGAGGCUGGCUUCACAGAGCAGCGACAACCGCCUGCUUCCUGCAGUGGAAGGAUAACAUGUCGGUGCCACUUGGAUCCGUUUGGCCUAAUGGGCUGGUUUAACUGGACCAUCAUUUUU